rnacentral:rRNA from 2 species
UAGGGAAUCUUCGGCAAUGGGGGGAACCCUGACCGAGCAACGCCGCGUGAGUGAAGAAGGUUUUCGGAUCGUAAAGCUCUGUUGUUAAGGAAGAACGAGUGUGAGAAUGGAAAGUUCAUGCUGUGACGGUACUUAACCAGAAAGGGACGGCUAACUACGUGCCAGCAGCCGCGGUAAUACGUAGGUCCCGAGCGUUGUCCGGAUUUAUUGGGCGUAAAGCGAGCGCAGGCGGUUAGAAAAGUCUGAAGUGAAAGGCAGUGGCUCAACCAUUGUAGGCUUUGGAAACUGUUUAACUUGAGUGCAGAAGGGGAGAGUGGAAUUCCAUGUGUAGCGGUGAAAUGCGUAGAUAUAUGGAGGAACACCGGUGGCGAAAGCGGCUCUCUGGUCUGUAACUGACGCUGAGGAUCGAAAGCGUGGGGAGCGAACAGG